rnacentral:rRNA from 1 species
AUUGAACGCUGGCGGCAGGCCUAACACAUGCAAGUCGAGCGAGCGGCGGACGGGUGAGUAAUGUAUGGGGAACUGCCCGAUAGAGGGGGAUAACUACUGGAAACGGUGGCUAAUACCGCAUACUAUCGGAUGAACCCAUAUGGGAUUAGCUAGUAGGUGGGGUAAAGGCUCACCUAGGCGACGAUCUCUAGCUGGUCUGAGAGGAUGACCAGCAAUACUGGACCGGAGACACGGCCCAGACUCCUACGGGAGGCAGCAGUGGGGAAUAUUUCACAAUGGGCGCAAGCCUGAUGCAGCCAUGCCGCGUGUAUGAAGAAGGCCUUCGGGUUGUAAAGUACUUUCAGCGGGGAGGCUUUACCCGCAGAAGAAGCACCGGCUAACUCCGUGCCAGCAGCCGCGGUAAUAC